rnacentral:rRNA from 1 species
CGCUGGCGGCGUGCCUAUACAUGCAAGUCGAGCGAAUGGACUAAGUAGCUUGCUCUUAUGAAGUUAGCGGCGGACGGGUGAGUAACACGUGGGUAACCUGCCCAUAAGACUGGGAUAACUCCGGGAAACCGGGGCUAAUACCGGAUAACAUUUUGAACUGCAUGGUUCGAAAUUGAAAGGCGGCUUUCGGCUGUCACUUUAAUGGAUGGACCCGCGUCGCAUUAUGCUAGUUGGUGAUAGUAACGGCUCACCAAGGCAACGAUGCGUAGCCGACCUGAGAGGGUGAUCGGCCACACUGGGACUGAGACACGGCCCAGACUCCUACGGGAGGCAGCAGUAGGGAAUCUUCCGCAAUGGACGAAAGUCUGACGGAGCAACGCCGCGUGAGUGAUGAUGAAGGCUUUCGGGUCGUAAAACUCUGUUGUUGUUAGGGAAAACAAGUGCUAGUUGAAUAAGCUGG